GAUGAACGCUGGCGGCGUGCCUAAUACAUGCAAGUCGAACGGUGAAGUGCCUUCCUUUUUGGUGGGUGUGGAUGAGUGGCGAACGGGUGAGUAACACGUGAGUAACCUGCCCCCUCCUUCUGGAUAACCGCAAGAAAGUGUGGCUAAUACGGGACAUUCUGGGCCUGUCGCAUGAUGGGUCUGGGAAAGAUUUUCUUUCGGUGGGGGAUGGGCCCGCGGCCUAUCAGCUUGUUGGUGGGGUGAGGGCCUACCAAGGCGGUGACGAGUAGCCGUCCUGAGAGGGUGGGCGGCACUACGGGUGCGGAGCCACCGACCAGACUACGACGGGAGGCAGCAGGGGAGAAUACUGCACGAUGGGCGGAAGGAUGGUGCAGCGACGCGGCAGGAGGGAUGGAGGCCUGCGGGUUGUGAACCUCUAUCACGAGUGAAGCAGGGCUGCCUCGUUUGUGGGUGGGUUGACGGUAGCUGGACAAAAAGCGCCGGCUAACUACGUG
rnacentral:rRNA from 1 species